rnacentral:rRNA from 1 species
GUGGCGGACGGGUGAGUAACGCGUGGGUAACCUGCCUCAUACAGGGGGAUAACAGUUAGAAAUGACUGCUAAUACCGCAUAAGACCACAAAGCCGCAUGGCUUAGUGGGAAAAACUCCGGUGGUAUGAGAUGGACCCGCGUCUGAUUAGGUAGUUGGUGGGGUAACGGCCUACCAAGCCGACGAUCAGUAGCCGACCUGAGAGGGUGACCGGCCACAUUGGGACUGAGACACGGCCCAAACUCCUACGGGAGGCAGCAGUGGGGAAUAUUGCACAAUGGGGGAAACCCUGAUGCAGCGACGCCGCGUGAGCGAAGAAGUAUUUCGGUAUGUAAAGCUCUAUCAGCAGGGAAGAAAAUGACGGUACCUGACUAAGAAGCACCGGCUAAAUACGUGCCAGCAGCCGCGGUAAUACGUAUGGUGCAAGCGUUAUCCGGAUUUACUGGGUGUAAAGGGAGCGCAGCGGUGCGGCAGUCUGAUGUGAAAGCCCGGGGCUCAACCCCGGUACUGCAUUGGAAACUGUCGUACUAGAGUGUCGGAGGGGUAAGUGGAAUUCCUAGUGUAGCGGUGAAAUGCGUAGAUAUUAGGAGGAACACCAGUGGCGAAGGCGGCUUACUGGACGAUAACUGACGCUGAGGCUCGAAAG